CGUUGCAGUGAUGGCAAGACAGUUCCUUGCUGAACCAAUUAGGGAAUUUAGAGAAACAGAGUUUUCUAUAGCUAGAUCCAUGGAGGCUUUUUGAGCAUGGUCAGCAUAUCUAAAUCAACUGCAGGAUUCCUGAUGUGUUGGAAAGGGGCUUUGUUGUUGUUUGUAAUACACUUAUUUACUCAAGAAAGCUCAGCUCUGAUUCAGCAUCUGGUUCUCAUUGAGGCUCAGCUUUUUUUAAACUGAGCUUUCCAGAUGGGUUGACUGAAGCACAAGGGGGUCAAGAGACUUGUCUGAGGUCAUACAGCAAGUCAGUGGCUCUGCUUGGAUCCGAGCCCAGAACUGUUCAAGGCUACCACUCCUUGGCUCUUAAAGAGACAAUUUUAUUCCCUGUGAAGUGAUCUUAUCACCAUGAAGAAGAAAUGUGAUAAAAGCAGUCCCCUCAAAGCUGCAGCCUGCUUAGAAAGAGUUAUUUUAUUCAGAAGAAGCCACAGCAUUCCAGUGUCUCAAUGGAGCAAGUCAAACCAAAGGGGUGUGAUACUGAUAUGCAGUGUCAUCCACCCCACUCUUGUAUAACCCUGUGCUCCCAUGGGGUGGCUUUAUGCUGCUGCCACCACCGCCAUUCCUGGAUGUCUACUCACAUCCCACCUAGCAGCAUGUCAUGUCAUGAAAUACACUGUCAGUUCAGCACAGGUUGAAGCCCCUUCUCACGGUGAAGAAACUCGAGUGCACUCAGGACCUGGAGCAGAGCCCAAGCACUUGUUGCCACAGCCUGGACACGUGGGGCGCAGGCAGUGCAUCCCAGUUGACUGACCAAAAGAUCCCCUAAGCUCAGCUCUGUUCUCUAUAACCUCCAGGUGCACUCCAUAAGCUCAGCCCUAGGCUGGGCUAUAGCAAGCAGGUCACAGAUCCCAUGGCAAAGGCACACUUGCUCCAAAGCAAGGAGGAGAUGGCAGGUACUGAGCUCUCCUGCAGAAAGCCUGGCUUGGCUCUACCUUUGUUUUCCAGGGGCAGGGUGAGAAAAGCACAACAGAGGGAACGUUGCCAGACAGGUAAGAGGUACUAAAAAGCUAGAGAAAACACAGAUGGGUCUUGCAUGUCAUUCUGCAGAGCCCUCUGCAAACUGGAUCAACCUGUAGCACGUUCUGCUACUUAGGAACGCAGUGUUGCUCAAGUCCUUCCUAUAAUAAAUUCAGUAUCUUAAGGAAAUGAAAGACGCAGAGUGCUAGGGUAUGUUGUGUUAUUGCUCUAGCACUGUUCUAAGGAUGAAAAAGCCAGGUUUUAAACUACUGUAUUCUGUUUAAUAUAUUAAUAGGAAAUGAAACCCUGAAAAUGGUGUACGUGCCAAAAGCAAGCAUAGGUGCGGCCAACUUUCUUAUUCUUACAAGAUGCAUACCCAAAAAUCUUUUGUAUAGCCAAGAACCACAGAAUAAAUACCACAUAGCUCCGGGAGCCCAGAGAAGAGAUAACAGUGACUCUCCAGGGUUCCCACUGUGGGAUGAGGUUAGACCGUGCGUGCAGCUGAGUCCAAUGACAACUCAGUGACGUCAACCUCAGCAGCUAUUGCCUGCUCAGUUCCUCUCUCAGCCAGGGAUGUACAUUAACCAGUGGCACCAGCGGCCUUUGGGUCAACACAACCUUGCUGCUGCAGCAGCUGAGUGGGAGCCAUACCUGAACUGCUGGAGAGUCUCGCAGAACUCAAGAGCCAUGAAAGGGCAACUCUUGAGCUAGUUGGAUACAGGCCUCCAAUGCUGAAAGCCUUUCCUAACUCCCACUGAAAGUGCACAUACAUUUUCUUUUCACAGGUUCACAGAUAAGAUGUUUUGUACGCUCUGAAAAGAGGCAUAGCUUGUUGAAAACGAGGCUUGCUCGCUCUCUCCAGACUUCACAAGACCACACUGGUGUGACUAACUUUGUGGUAUUCUAAAUCUGAUUCAAGACACCACUCUGGAAAGUUGGUUUUGACCAAAUGUUUGAGACAAGCUGGAAUGGGGCAUCCAAAUCAGGGAUUAGUUUCACAGCAAGAUAAACGACAGCCCAGUUUCCAUGCCUCAGAGACUGGCCCUUCCAAACCACAACAGUGAUUGCAAACCAGUUCCCGUGUCUCCAGGGGCAGACUGCUUGCUUCUUCAGCAACAGGCUGGGAAGAGUCAUUGCACACAGGACGGAGGGGCUUCUGCGUAGAUCUGUGCCAGAAGCCAAAGGAAAUCCUCCAUGCAGUGCUGGGAGGGAAGGGAUUGGGCAUGACAACAAAACACUCCAUGGGGAACGGUGCCUCGGACACUAGUAUGUGGCUCAGUACUCAGUUUUCCUGACAAACAAGGAAGCCUCCCUUCACAGAUCCAAAUGCCAAGGCCUAUCCCAGGGUCAGGCUGUGGAGAACCACUGGCUGAACUACUCCGUCCUCGGGUUAAGUUUUCGGGUUGUUUUGUUUUUGUUUUUUUUUUUUUUUGUUGUUGUUGUUUUGUUUUGUUUGGUUUUUUUUUUUUCCCCUAUUUUGUUUUCAAAUGUAAAUGGCUGAACGGCUCCCCCCUCCCCUUUACAACUUGUUGCUCUUCCAGUUCAAACAAAGACAGCGGAGCUCCUCCUCCGCUUGCUCGGCCGCGGGGCAGCGCAGCCGCCCGCCUUUGUUUACCGGCUCUCCCGCAGGCGGGGCGGGCGGCGGGGCGGCCCCGGGCCCGGGCAGCGCCGAGCCGGGCCCGGACACCGACACGGACACGGACACGGAGCCAAGCCCAGGCCCAGGGCGGGUUUGGCGGGGCCGGCUCCGGCGGGCAUUCCUGGAUGCGUUUCCAAGGCACAGACAUCAGAUAGGCUAAUCUUCCUGUUACAGCUUCUUUAGUCCUUAUGCUAUUCGGAGAUGAAGAGUCACAGCAUUCCCUCAUCUCUGACGACACCGAGAGGACCAAACCUUUGCCUAGCCACAAGCCACAUUCUCUGAGCAGGACAAAGAUCCUCACUUACCUUCGGGAAGAAUUGCAACAGAUCCUACAGUUAACAGAGCACCAGCUCACUUGGAAGUGAGAUAAGCUUUCUGUCUCUCUCUGAAGUCAGCAAGUGUCAGCUUCUACCAAUGCAAGUGGAUACACACUUUCCUUGCUGGGCUUGCAUAGAAGUGGCAAAGUGCUGCCUACUGCCAAACCUCUGCUGCCUCUGACAAACUCUGCCUGGGCUGGGAUUUCCAUUUCAUCUCUACUCAACAGGGGAAGGAGGGCAAGGAAGAAAGAAUCAGGGGUCUUAUUGGUGCUGGUUUUAUUUUGUUUCUUUGAAGAGCAGGGUUUCCUUUUUUUUUUUUUUU